rfam:Acidobacteria bacterium 13_1_40CM_3_55_6 13_1_40cm_3_scaffold_1999, whole genome shotgun sequence.
CCCGGCGUUGAAACGCCGGGCUAAAUUCAUGACGACGCUACGCGUCA